GACGAACGCUGGCGGCGUGCCUAAUACAUGCAAGUCGAACGCUUUUUCUUUCACCGGAGCUUGCUCCACCGAAAGAAAAAGAGUGGCGAACGGGUGAGAACACGUGGGUAACCUGCCCAUCAGAAGGGGAUAACACUUGGAAACAGGUGCUAAUACCGUAUAACACUAUUUUCCGCAUGGAAGAAAGUUGAAAGGCGCUUUUGCGUCACUUAUGGAUGGACCCGCGGUGCAUUAGCUAGUUGGUGAGGUAACGGCUCACCAAGGCAACGAUGCAUAGCCGACCUGAGAGGGUGAUCGGCCACACUGGGACUGAGACACGGCCCAGACUCCUACGGGAGGCAGCAGUAGGGAAUCUUCGGCAAUGGGCGAAAGCCUGACCGAGCAACGCCGCGUGAAUGAUGAAGGCCUUCGGGUUGUAAAAUUCUGUUAUAAGGGAAGAACGACUUUAGUAGGAAAUGGCUAGAGUGUGACGGUACCUUAUGAGAAAGCCACGGCUAACUACGUGCCAGCCGCCGCGGUAA
rnacentral:rRNA from 1 species